AGUGAACGCUGGCGGUAGGCCUAACACAUGCAAGUCGAACGGCAGCACAGUAAGAGCUUGCUCUUACGGGUGGCGAGUGGCGGACGGGUGAGGAAUACAUCGGAAUCUACUUUUUCGUGGGGGAUAACGUAGGGAAACUUACGCUAAUACCGCAUACGACCUACGGGUGAAAGCAGGGGAUCUUCGGACCUUGCGCGAUUGAAUGAGCCGAUGUCGGAUUAGCUAGUUGGCGGGGUAAAGGCCCACCAAGGCGACGAUCCGUAGCUGGUCUGAGAGGAUGAUCAGCCACACUGGAACUGAGACACGGUCCAGACGCCUACGGGAGGCAGCAGUGGGGAAUAUUGGACAAUGGGCGCAAGCCUGAUCCAGCCAUACCGCGUGGGUGAAGAAGGCCUUCGGGUCGUAAAGCCCUUUUGUUGGGAAAGAAAAGCAGCAGGUUAAUACCCCGCUGUUCUGACGGUACCCAAAGAAUAAGCACCAGCUAACUUCGUG
rnacentral:rRNA from 1 species